rnacentral:rRNA from 1 species
GACGAACGCUGGCGGCGUGCUUAACACAUGCAAGUCGAACGGAAAGGCCCUGCUUUUGUGGGGUGCUCGAGUGGCGAACGGGUGAGUAACACGUGAGUAACCUGCCCUUGACUUUGGGAUAACUUCAGGAAACUGGGGCUAAUACCGGAUAGGAGCUCCUGCUGCAUGGUGGGGGUUGGAAAGUUUCGGCGGUUGGGGAUGGACUCGCGGCUUAUCAGCUUGUUGGUGGGGUAGUGGCUUACCAAGGCUUUGACGGGUAGCCGGCCUGAGAGGGUGUCCGGCCACAUUGGGACUGAGAUACGGCCCAGACUCCUACGGGAGGCAGCAGUGGGGAAUAUUGCACAGUGGGCGGAAGCCUGAUGCAGCAACGCCGCGUGCGGGAUGACGGCCUUCGGGUUGUAAACCGCUUUCGCCUGUGACGAAGCGUGAGUGACGGUAAUGGGUAAAGAAGCACCGGCUAACUACGUG